UUAAAGUUGUUGCAGUUAAAAAGCUCGUAGUUGAACCUUGGGCCUGGCUGGCCGGUCCGCCUCACCGCGUGCACUGGUCCGGCCGGGUCUUUCCCUCUGGGGAGCCGCAUGCCAUUCACUUGGUGUGUCGGGGAACCAGGACUUUUACUUUGAAAAAAUUAGAGUGUUCAAAGCAGGCCUAUGCUCGAAUACAUUAGCAUGGAAUAAUA
rnacentral:rRNA from 1 species